GAUGAACGCUGGCGGCGUGCUUAAUACAUGCAAGUCGAACGAAGAGCAUUGAGUUCGCUUGGUGCUUUUAGUGGCGAACGGGUGAGUAACGCGUUGGUGACCUGCCCCGAAGUGGGGGACAACAGUUCGAAAGGGCUGCUAAUACCCCAUGUGGUCUGGAGAGCUAGACACCUCCAGUCUAAAGGAGUAAUUCGCUUCGGGAGGGGCCUGCGUCCCAUCAGCUAGUUGGUAGGGUAAUGGCCUACCAAGGCUUCGACGGGUAGGGGACCUGAGAGGGUGACCCCCCACAAUGGAACUGAAACACGGUCCAUACACCUACGGGUGGCAGCAGUAGGGAAUAUUGCACAAUGGGCGAAAGCCUGAUGCAGCAACGCCGCGUGUACGACGAAGGCCUUCGGGUCGUAAAGUACUUUUCGGGGAGAUGAGGAA
rnacentral:rRNA from 1 species